rnacentral:rRNA from 1 species
UACGUAGGCAGCGAGCGUUGUUCGGAGUUACUGGGCGUAAAGGGUGUGUAGGCGGUCUUCUAAGUUUGGUGUGAAAUCUCCCGGCUCAACCGCAAGGCUGCCUUCUAAACUGUCAGGCUGGAGCACGGUAGAGGCAGAUGGAAUUCCCGGUGUAGCGGUGGAAUGCGUAGAGAUCGGGAAGAACACCAGUGGCGAAGGCGGUCUGCUGGGCCGUUGCUGACGCUGAGGCGCGACAGCGUGGGGAGCAAACAGG